rnacentral:rRNA from 1 species
CCUACGGGAGGCAGCAGUGGGGAAUUUUGGACAAUGGGGGCAACCCUGAUCCAGCCAUUCCGCGUGAGUGAAGAAGGCCUUCGGGUUGUAAAGCUCUUUUGUCGGGGACGCGGUACCCGAAGAAUAAGCACCGGCUAACUACGUGCCAGCAGCCGCGGUAAUACGUAGGGUGCGAGCGUUAAUCGGAAUUACUGGGCGUAAAGCGUGCGCAGGCGGUUUUAUAAGCCAGAUGUGAAAGCCCCGGGCUCAACCUGGGAAUGGCAUUUGGGACUGUAAGGCUAGAGUAUGGCAGAGGAGACUAGAAUUCCUGGUGUAGCAGUGAAAUGCGUAGAUAUCAGGAGGAAUACCGAUGGCGAAGGCAGGUCUCUGGGCGAACUGACGCUCAUGCACGAAAGCGUGGGGAGCAAACAGGAUUAGAUACCCUUGUAGUC